rnacentral:rRNA from 1 species
UCGGGUGUGUAAGCGCAGCGAUGCGUUGAGCUAACCGAUACUAAUGAACCGUGAGGCUUAACCUUACAACGCCGAAGGUGUUUC